rnacentral:rRNA from 1 species
UACGGGGGGGGCAAGCGUUGUUCGGAAUUACUGGGCGUAAAGGGCGCGUAGGCGGCCAUCUAAGUCAGACGUGAAAUCCCUCGGCUUAACCGGGGAACUGCGUCUGAUACUGGAUGGCUUGAGUUUGGGAGAGGGAUGCGGAAUUCCAGGUGUAGCGGUGAAAUGCGUAGAUAUCUGGAGGAACACCGGUGGCGAAGGCGGCAUCCUGGACCAACACUGACGCUGAGUGAGCGAAAGCCAGGGGAGCAAACGGG